CGGAAUUUCCACUUUCGUUUUGGAACCAGGAAGGUUUUGGCCGUAUGACGAUGACAUGGAAUAAUGAAUAGUUUUAAAAGUGUUCCCAUUGUUAUCUUUAAGAGCUAUGGGAAACACAACAGCUAGCAGUUCUUCAGAUGAGCCAUCUACCACUCCUGUCACAGUCAGGAUAGUAAGGAAAGCUAUGUCAUCAGCAAACUCUAGCUCCACCAGAAAGUUCAGGACAAUUGGCAAUAUUAAAGUCAGCGUAAUAAAUGAAAGUUUUGCUCAGCAGAAGGCAGAUGUCAUUGUGAACUGUGCCUCAGCUGACCUUGACCUCUCCAGAGGUCGUGGUUCUAAAGCCCUUGCUCAGACUGCAGGACCAGAUGUACAGGCAGAUUUGAAGAACAACUACAGCACAAACAUCAGUGAAGGUGACGUGGCAGUUUCUGUCCCUGGCAAUCUGAAGUGUCGUAAGGUCUACCAUGUGUACCUAACAAAAUGGAAUCAAGACACACAGGGUCUGCUGAAGGUCAUAACCAACUGUUUAUUGCUGGCAGACAAGUUCAAAGUCCAAAGCAUUGUGUUUCCCAGUCUUGGGACGGGUUACCUUGGUUACCCACACAGUGAGGUAACCAAAACAGCCUUGGCAGCUAUAGAAGCAUUCACCCAGACACAUGGCUCCUCGUCAAUUGAUACCAUCAUAUUUUCUGUAUAUGACCUUCCUUCCUACAAGGUGUUUUUUCAAGAAAUCAGAAAAUACAAUCCUGGAUCCAGUUCCUCAGGUCAACAGUCUGCAGCAUCAGCAACAGGGAACAGUACUAGCACCUGUGUGUCUGUGCAGAUUGGUUCAACUGUUGUAGAUGUUGUGAUGGGGGCACUACCACAACAACAGGUGGAUGUUAUAGUGAAUAGUGCACCAUUUGACCUUGACCUGUCAAAUGGGGGCCUGUCUGAGGCCCUGCUCAAGGUCGCGGGUCAAGGCCUCCAGGAAGAGUGCAUUGAACAUUACCCCAAUGGCAUCUCAACUGGAGAGAUACUGACCACUAAAGGGUAUGACUUACCUUGUAGUUAUGUCUACCAUGGAUGUCUUCCGGACUGGUCAAAAACUGACCAUACAGAUGCAAAAGAGAACCUGUAUGCAUUUAUGAUGGGCUGUUUGGAAAUAGCCACCAGCUACUGUGUGAAUUCCAUUGCCUUUCCAACUCUAGGCAGUGGAAGUCUGAGGUUUCCGGCUGAUGUGGUCGCAGAUAGCAUGAUCAAGUGUGUAAAGGAGUUUACUGAUGAUAAUCCACAAACUUCACUGACUGAAAUCCGAAUAGUGAUCUACAACCAAGCAGCCAGACCUGGAGCUUUACAAGCGGCUUUCAAAAAGGCAUGUGACCCCUACAUGUCAUCAGCUUCAGUUUCUCCUCCAACACCCCAUCCUAGGCAUCAAGUUGAAGCUUCUUCUACUGCUGCAGGAACCACAGCAACUCCACCACCACUACCAAAGAAGCGUGGACCUCCACCAAAAGAUACACAGGCGUAUUUCAACUACAUGUACGAGCAAUCACCAGUGUCUCCAUCUUACUGGACUAAAUACGACAACAGUAAACCCCUUAAGAUGUGGAACUUGACAGUCGCUCCUACCACUUCCAGCCAUGCAGUUUAUUUACCUGUUGAUAGAAGCACAUUCAAAUCUAUAGAAAAUGUUGUGAAAAAAUCCUGGGAUGCAGCACAUUUUGGACAUGGAAAUGAUGCACAGGGUUUGUCCCAGCUUGGAUACAGCAAUAUUCAAGUUACAAAAAUUGAGCGUAUAGAAAAUCCAGUUCUGUUUGAAAAAUAUGCACAAAAUCGGGCACAUUUCUUUCGCAGGGCUGCUGGAUUUGGAAAACCAUUGACUCCAGUGGGGCAAAUAUCUGCAGGAUCAAAAAGGCCUUUACUAACAACACAGCUGUGUGAUGCUAACCUCAGGCGGGAUAUCUACCCGGAGAUUAACGAGCAUUACACAUUUCAUGGUACACCUGAAGAUAGAGUAGCAGUCAUCACCGCACAGGGGCUUGACAACAGGUUGGCUGGAAAUACUGUCAUUGGCCAGGGGGUGUACACGGCUGAGAGCUCCACUAAGUCUGACCAGUAUGCAGAUUGUGUUGGGAGGCGUGACAAGACGAAGGAUAAAAAGAUGUUCCUGACCCGGAUGUGCCUUGGAGAUCCCUUUAUUUUGAAUAAAAAACCAACAUCAGUUUUCAAACGUCCUCCAUGUAAAACAUGCAAGAAGGACAUUUGUGCUGAUCUGUCACACGCUGGAAAUUUUGAUUCUAUUCUUGUUGAGGACUUCUGGAUCUUUCGAGAAUUUAUUGUGUUUGAAAAAGACCGGUGUUAUCCAGAAUAUCUGAUAACCUAUAAAAGAGUGUAAUGAAAGAUUGUUAAUUUACAACAAUAACUUCCAACUAUUUAAGUUUGAUUAAUGAGGAGACUUGAUUGUUAAUUCUCACUACAGGUAUUUGUUACAAUCAAGUUUUGUUUUCCCAGCUACCAAUUGGCCGAAAUUUCUUUUAUAAAAAAACUUUUCCUAGUUGCUCUAGUCAUCUCAUAAUCAAGCUGCAUUCACCGGUAAUGCAGGUAGCUGGGUUAUCUACUGGAAACAGAUGGUUAGAUUAUCUGUUGGAAAUAGGUGGCUUGAUUAUCUACUGGGAACAGAGGUAGCUGGAUUAUCUAUUGGGAACAGAGGUAGCUUGAUUAUCUACUGGGAACAGAGGUAGCUGGAUUAUCUACUGGGAACAGAGGUAGCUUGAUUAUCUACUGGGAACAGAGGUAGCUUGAUUAUCUACUGGGAACAGAGGUAGCUGGAUUAUCUAUUGGGAACAGAGGUAGCUUGGUUAUCUAUUGGGAACAGAGGUAGCUUGAUUAUCUACUGGGAACAGAGGUAGUUGGAUUAUCUAUUGGGAACGGAGGUAGCUUGAUUAUCUACUGGGAACAGAGGUAGCUUGAUUAUCUACUGGGAACAGAGGUAGCUGGAUUAUCUACUGGGAACAGAGGUAGCUGGAUUAUUUAUUGGGAACAGAGGUAGCUGGAGUAUAUACUGAAAACAGAAAUGGAUGAAUUAUUUCAGCUCCACAGAUAAAUUGCCCCGUAAAUAAAGUGCUAUUUAUAAUAUCCACAUGUAGUACUGUGCAUCGUGUAAUGUCCUUUUUAUGAAUUCAUACUGAAUUCUUUGGUGCACUUUUUAUGAAAAUCAGUACCAAGUACCUGUAAAAAAACAACGUUUAUUUACUGCAUUAGAAAGUCAUACUGAAAACAGGUUGUCAACCAUAUAUUUGUGUUGUGAAAUUGAUCACUGAGUUUCAGUGUUGCUAUAGAGGAAACUGUUCUUGUUUUUUCACAUGCUUUAUAUUAUUUUUUCAGAAAACGUGUUAAUAACUUUACUUUAUUUGGAGAAAAUAAUGUACAUGUACAUGCAUACCCCCAGGUUAACUAAGUAAGAUACCUGGUAAGUUAAAACACUUUCUUCAAGCAAUUUUAUUAUAUACAUGUACAUAUAUAUUCAUGUGUAGAUAUCAUUAUCAGAGGAAAAGAUAAAGGGGAUAAUUUUCACCGAGUUAUUUUUACAAAGGGGAACAAUCCAUUGACAUCGCUAGCUUUUAGGUAGCUAGUGAUAGGUAAUAUGGGCUGAUAAAACCGGUCUUCAACUUAAGUUUCCAAAUUCAUUUGGAAGAAAAAUCAGACCGGUUAUGUCAGCCUAUAUAAGCUUCCUAAAACCAAUGUAACAAAUCCCUCAUUACUGCAAAUUCCAGCAACAAUUUUAAGUAAAAUAUGGAUUUUUUUUAAUUAUGAGACAAAUCUAUUCAUUAUUUUCCGUAGCACAUGAACUUCCGUCUUGUCACAUUAAAAUGUAUAUUCUGUCUGAGAUGAGUGCGGCAAGUUUUUUUUUUAGGACAGAGAUUGACAUGUUUAUUCGCAGGAUGAUAUAUACAGGGUGAGUGGCAUUUUUUACAGGUGGAUAUAUAUACAUGACGUGUGGCAUUUUAUACAGGUGGUUAUUUCAUCAUCUACUGUCUCUGACAAAGUUUUCGGAGAGAAUUAAGAACACAUGCAGUAUACAUGCCAAUCUUUCAGACUGAAUUACAAGAUCUCAAAAUAUCUAAAAGUAUUGACAAUAACCGUUAUUACACAAAAUAAAAGUGUAACAUGACAUAGCUAUUCUAUGCAAUGACCUAAUGGAAAUGAGCAGAUUUCAAAGUAAGACAAAACUGUGUAUGAUACAUGUAGUCUAAUUAUAUAUAUAGAUAAUCUGCCUCCAAAAUAGGAAGACUUGGCAAGUAUAUAAUACACAUGAUGUAAUAUUUAGCAUCCAAACUCCACUUGGCAAUAAAUGUACAGCGUACAAA